UUCUACCCUUCUCCACUUAAUAGGCUACUUUUGUCUUCAUUGGAUUCAAAAUCGUGACUGCGCCUAACAUACUUAAGGGGUUUCACUUUUACCUCUAGACCAAAGCCUUGGGGCUAGAGUUUUAUUCUCGUGGUACUUAUCUUAUUUGUGGAUCUAAUUCUUGGCCCACUCCUAUACAUGACUUGUUUAUUAUUGGAGCUAGCAGCAAGCCAGAUCUUAUUGAUCCUGCCUUUUGAGGCCAGGGAGAUUUGAUAAGCUCCUUUAUGUUGGCGUUACUUUUGAAGCCUCGUACAUAAAGAGGUAUUCUUGUAUUCUAACCCUCUCCGAAGAUAUAUCUCAACUCUCAAUAGCAAGAAGGUGUCCAAUGAACUUCACGGAAACUGACGUGUAUGCACUGUGUGCUGAUGCUUGGUUUCAUGCUGCGAAGCGCAAGGCAUUAGCUUCAGAAUUGGAUUCAACAAGCCUAGAUGAUCAGGAUGACUCAAGUCGACUAUAAACAUUAUCCUAACAAUUCAAAAAAGAAUGAAUUUAAGAGUUGGAAGACUGUCAGGAAUGUCCUUGAUAUGGCAAGAGAAAAAUGCACUGUCAGUGACCAUCAAAAGCAGAAAGCUAUAGAUACUUGCUCUUUGAUUGUUACAUUGCUCAACUAUUGGUUUUACAUUGCUCUUGAACUUGUUAAAUUCUAUCCUCUGUUUAAUUCUUGUUAGAACUCUAAAUUCAAGCCAUUUUUAAAGAAGUACCUAAGUGGAUUUGCAGUAUAUAUGUAGUGGCUUUGAUUGUAUUGCGCAUAGGGGAGGAUGUAGCGGCACUAGGACGUUUAUGUAAAACAUUUUUAGCAGAAUUUAGUACAUAAAACUGUCAUUUAACGACAAAUAUAAGUUCUUGUUUUCA